rnacentral:lncRNA from 1 species
GGUAAAUGCAGGAAAGAAAGAUGCAGAAAACUAAGGGUAGUCUUUUGUUCGCAGAGGCAAAAGAUCUCUUUUUAGAGUAUUAUUACCCUAUUUAUAGAUAACCCCCUCGGUCAGUUAUUGAUCUUACGCGAUCGGCCACUAUCUCCUCAUAUUCCGGACCACAUCUAGCCGAUCGGAACCGCAUGUAACUGCUUGCGGUUACCAUAAC